rnacentral:rRNA from 1 species
UUAUUGGGUGUAAAGGGUGCGUAGACGGAAAUGCAAGUUAGUUGUGAAAUACCUCGGCUUAACUGAGGAACUGCAACUAAAACUAUAUUUCUUGAGUAUCGGAGGGGUUUGUGGAAUUCCUAGUGUAGCGGUGAAAUGCGUAGAUAUUGGGAAGAACACCGGUGGCGAAGGCGACAAACUGGACGAUAACUGACGUUGAGGCACGAAAGUGUGGGGAGCAAACAGGAUUAGAUACCCUGGUAGUCCACACCGUAAACGAUGGAUACUAGGUGUUGGCAAUGAAUAAUUGUCGGUGCCGGCGCUAACGCAAUAAGUAUCCCACCUGGGGAGUACGACCGCAAGGUUGAAACUCAAAGGAAUUGACGGGGGCCCGCACAAGCGGUGGAGCAUGUGGUUUAAUUCGAAGCAACGCGAAGAACCUUACCAGGUCUUGACAUCCCUCUGACCGCUCUAGAGAUAGAGCUUUCCUUCGGGACAGAGGUGACAGGUGGUGCAUGGUUGUCGUCAGCUCGUGUCGUGAG